AUUGAACGCUGGCGGGAUGCUUUACACAUGCAAGUCGGACGGCAGCACGGGCUUCGGCCUGGUGGCGAGUGGCGAACGGGUGAGUAAUGUAUCGGAACGUGCCCAGUAGCGGGGGAUAACUACGCGAAAGCGUAGCUAAUACCGCAUACGCCCUACGGGGGAAAGCGGGGGACCUUCGGGCCUCGCACUAUUGGAGCGGCCGAUAUCGGAUUAGCUAGUUGGUGAGGUAACGGCUCACCAAGGCGACGAUCCGUAGCUGGUUUGAGAGGACGACCAGCCACACUGGGACUGAGACACGGCCCAGACUCCUACGGGAGGCAGCAGUGGGGAAUUUUGGACAAUGGGGGCAACCCUGAUCCAGCCAUCCCGCGUGUGCGAUGAAGGCCUUCGGGUUGUAAAGCACUUUUGGCAGGAAAGAAACGGCUCUGGCUAAUACCUGGGGCAACUGACGGUACCUGCAGAAUAAGCACCGGCUAACUAC
rnacentral:rRNA from 1 species